AGGGAAUAUUGGACAAUGGGGGCAACCCUGAUCCAGCCAUGCCGCGUGAGUGAAGAAGGCCCUCGGGUUGUAAAGCUCUUUUGUCCGGAAAGAAAAGCAUUCGGUGAAUACCCGGAUGUUCUGACGGUACCGGAAGAAUAAGCACCGGCUAACUUCGUGCCAGCAGCCGCGGUAAUACGAAGGGUGCAAGCGUUACUCGGAAUUACUGGGCGUAAAGGAUGCGUAGGCGGAUACUUAAGUCAGAUGUGAAAAUCCCGGGCUUAACUUGGGAACUGCAUUUGAAACUGGGUAUCUAGAGUGCGGGAGAGGAAAGUGGAAUUCCUAGUGUAGCGGUGAAAUGCGUAGAGCUUAGGAAGAACACCAGUGGCGAAGGCGACUUUCUGGACCGUAACUGACGCUGAGGCAUGAAAGCGUGGGGAGCAAACA
rnacentral:rRNA from 1 species